UCACCGGGAGCAUUGUUUGAUC
rnacentral:miRNA from 1 species